UACGUAGGGGGCAAGCGUUGUCCGGAUUUAUUGGGCGUAAAGAGCGUGUAGGCGGCCUGAAAGGUCAGCUGUGAAAACUCGAGGCUCAACCUCGAGACGUCGGUUGAAACCAUCUGGCUAGAGUCCGGAAGAGGAGUGUGGAAUUCCCGGUGUAGCGGUGAAAUGCGCAGAUAUCAGGAGGAACACCGGUGGCGAAGGCGGGUCUCUGGGCAGUAACUGACGCUGAGGAGCGAAAGCGUGGGGAGCGAACAGG
rnacentral:rRNA from 1 species